rnacentral:lncRNA from 1 species
GUUUAUUGGCAAAAUCAGACUUCCAGAGGACAUGAAGUGGAGUCAAAAGAAAGCUCUUGUUGACAUCGUAAUUGAAAACCUUGGACUUUCUAAAUGCGAAAACACAGAAAUGGGUGGUGGGCUUUUUGGACGUGGUUGUUCAGGAGGUGAGAAAAAGCGUUGUAGCAUUGGAGUUGAACUUAUCAGCAAUCCUGCUUGCAUAAUUAUGGAUG